rnacentral:rRNA from 1 species
UGGCUCAGAACGAACGCUGGCGGCAGGCUUAACACAUGCAAGUCGAGCGCCCCGCAAGGGGAGCGGCAGACGGGUGAGUAACGCGUGGGAAUCUACCUUUUGCUACGGAAUAACUCAGGGAAACUUGUGCUAAUACCGUAUGUGCCCUUCGGGGGAAAGAUUUAUCGGCAAAGGAUGAGCCCGCGUUGGAUUAGCUAGUUGGUGAGGUAAAGGCUCACCAAGGCGACGAUCCAUAGCUGGUCUGAGAGGAUGAUCAGCCACACUGGGACUGAGACACGGCCCAGACUCCUACGGGAGGCAGCAGUGGGGAAUAUUGGACAAUGGGCGCAAGCCUGAUCCAGCCAUGCCGCGUGAGUGAUGAAGGUCUUAGGAUUGAAAGCUCUUUCACCGGUAAGAAAUGCGGUACCGGAGAGAG